AACUUCCUACGGGGCGCAGCAGUGAGGAAUAUUGGUCAAUGGUCGGGAGACUGAACCAGCCACGCCGCGUGAGGGAGGAAGGUACGGAGUAUUGUAAACCUCUUUUGUCGGGGAACAAAGACUGGGACGCGUCCCCGGAUGAGUGUACCUGAAGAAAAAGCAUCGGCUAACUCCGUGCCAGCAGCCGCGGUAAUACGGAGGAUGCAAGCGUUAUCCGGAUUUAUUGGGUUUAAAGGGUGCGCAGGCGGUCUGUUAAGUCAGCGGUCAAAGCCCGGGGCUCAACCCCGGCCCGCC
rnacentral:rRNA from 1 species